rnacentral:snRNA from 1 species
GUACUCCCUUCAGCAGCACAUAUACUAAAAUGGGAAAAUAUAGAGAAGAUGCAAGGAUGACAUGCAUAUUCGUGAAGCGUUCCAUAUUUUU